rnacentral:rRNA from 1 species
CCUGGUUGAUCCUGCCAGUAGUCAUAUGCUUGUCUAAAGGAUUAAGCCAUGCAUGUCUAAGUAUAAGCAAACUUAUACUGUGAAACUGCGAACGCUCAUUAAAUCAGUUAUAAUUUACUUGAUCGUAUUUCAAUUCUUACAUGGAUAACCGUAGGAAUUCUAGAGCUAAUACAUGAAAAAAAUCCCGACCUUUUAGGAAAGGAUGAAUUUAUUAGAUUACCAACUAACGCAGGGUAUUCCAAACUAUAGUGAACUCGUGUCAUUAUAGGCUCUGGUCUGUGAUUUAUUACAGGCAACUAAAGGUGACUCAUAAUAACUAAUCGAAUCGCAGUGACAUUUAUGUCGGCGAUGAUACAUACAAAUUUCUGCCCUAUCAACUUUCGAUGGUAGUAUAGAGGACUACCAUGGUUAUAACGGGUAACGGGGAAUUAGGGUUCGAUUCCGGAGAGGGGGCCUGAGAAAUGGCCACCACUUCCAAGGAAGGCAGCAGGCGCGCAAAUUACCCAAUCCCAAUACGGGGAGGUAGUGACAAAUACCUAUACAGGCCCAAUGGACUGUGUUUGGAAUGAGUGUAAUUUAAAAACCUUAUCAAGGAACGAUUGGAGGGCAAGUCUGGUGCCAGCAGCCGCGGUAAUUCCAGCUCCAAUAGUGUAUACUAAAGUUGCUGCAGUUAAAAAGCUCGUAGUUGGAAUUCGGUUAAUGAAUUGAUAGUCUAUAUUUUAUAUAUACGCACUGUUAAUUCAUUUCCUUUUUUUUUAGGUUUAACCACUUUUAGUGAUUUUCCUAAAUAUUUUACUUUGAGAAAAUUAGAGUGUUCAAAGCAGGCGUAACUAAGCCUUUGAAUAUAUUAGCAUGGGAUAAUGAAAUAAGACUUUUUGCCUUAUUCUCGUUGGUUCAUAGGGCUAAAGUAAUGAUUAAUAGGGAUAGUUGGGGUCAUUAGUAUUUAAUUGUCAGAGGUGAAAUUCUAAGAUUUAUUAAAGACUAACUACUGCGAAAGCAUUUGACAAGGAUGUUUUCAUUAAUCAAGAACGAAAGUUGGGGGAUCGAAGAUGAUCAGAUACCGUCGUAGUCUCAACCAUAAACUAUGCCGACCAAGGAUUCGGGGGUGUUAAAUGAAUGACUCUCCGGGCACUUAUAGAGAAACCAUGAGUAUUUGGGUUCCGGGGGGAGUAUGGUCGCAAGGCUGAAACUUAAAGGAAUUGACGGAAGGGCACCACCAGGAGUGGAACUUGCGGUUUAAUUUGACCCAACACGGGGAAACUUACCAGGUCCAGACACAGUAAGGAUUGACAGAUUGAGAGCUCUUUCUUGAUUUUGUGGGUC